GACGAACGCUGGCGGCGUGCCUAAUACAUGCAAGUCGAACGCUUCUUUCCUCCCGAGUGCUUGCACUCAAUUGGAAAGAGGAGUGGCGGACGGGUGAGUAACACGUGGGUAACCUACCCAUCAGAGGGGGAUAACACUUGGAAACAGGUGCUAAUACCGCAUAACAGUUUAUGCCGCAUGGCAUAAGAGUGAAAGGCGCUUUCGGGUGUCGCUGAUGGAUGGACCCGCGGCGCAUUAGCUAGUUGGUGAGGUAACGGCUCACCAAGGCCACGAUGCAUAGCCGACCUGAGAGGGUGAUCGGCCACACUGGGACUGAGACACGGCCCAGACUCCUACGGGAGGCAGCAGUAGGGAAUCUUCGGCAAUGGACGAAAGUCUGACCGAGCAACGCCGCGUGAGUGAAGAAGGUUUUCGGAUCGUAAAACUCUGUUGCUAGAGAAGAACAAGGACGUUAGUAACUGAACGUCCCCUGACGGUAUCUAACCAGAAAGCCACGGCUAACUACGUG
rnacentral:rRNA from 1 species